GGGGCGGUAUACACACCGACACACGGAUCCGUCAAAUACUAUGACUUUCAAAACAUCCCUCGUCUCCUGACAUUUACUUUCUUUCCCUUUUUUUGCUCGUGCCAUUAUAUAGACGUGGUUUUCUUUCUUUUUCAUUGUACUUCUUCAAUCGUAGUUGUAGAAUAGAGUUUCGUUCCCGAGUAACAGGUGUAUGUUUGCAAUUGUGAACGGUAAAAUAUAAUAGAAGAAUGUUUAUCUUCAAUCUCUGGGUUUGAAUUUAAAAACAUAAACCUGUGCCAUUUUUAUUACUGUCGACGUCCGCCCAUUUCAACAAAACACUAGCCUCCGUCUCAUUCGCCAAAUAGGACGGUACAAUCUCUAGUGCAAAUUAAGCUUAUUUGGCAAUCAGGCGGAAAUCCGGCGGUACAUUUGAACAUAUUUGGAUCCCAUGUUGUAGGUGAUCCUUGAAAAUAGUUUUAAUUCUAGUUGAGAUGCAAUGAUUUCUAGAUGCGAUUUGGUCUCUCACCACUAGAGGGAGCUCUGUCGCCACGACUUGCCUGUAUACAGUUGCAAAGGUAUCCCUUUCGUUGCUUCAAAUGAUGUGGAAUCCUACAGAGGAUAGAGUCGAGUGCCAUGUUUUAAAGUUACAUCAUUUUCCUUCUAAGUACUUUUAUUUGAUCAAACGAGUAGUCUCGCUGGAGAGUGUUGGAUAGCAUUUGGAUGGGUGGAGUCUGGACCGUGUGAAAGCACUCCUUACAUAUGAUCAGCGUUUCACCUGACCUUUUCCUUUCUCUAAAACAAACCGGUGUGUGGCUUUCACCUGCCCAGACUCUCCCGACUUCUCUUCACCUCAGUGCCUAAGUCAGAGGAGCCACGCACACACAGAAACCCAGAGUGCUGAAAACAUCCGUUACCAUGGCAAUAACCUUCUUUCUGGUGGGGGUGGGGGUGGAGGAGAGUCCUUCCCAGCUGGGUGGUGUGUGUUGUUUAGGAGGCUAGAGCACUUGACAAAGACCACCUCCCAGGGUUGGUUCUGACUAGGGCUGGCCCGAUCCUUAGGGACCUGCUAUUAGACUUGUUUGUUGUUUCAGCCAUUUGAUGUUUGCUGUUGUUAUGGUUAGCUAUUCAGAAGGCUCCCCUUAAUUAGACCUAAUGGGAACUAGUGAUUCAAAAGGAGGGGUGGUGGGGAAAAAAGCAGCCAAGUAAUGUACUCCCAUUUUAUCCUCUCCAUGUAAUUGAAUCUGAGGCAAAUUAUCAGUUUGGCCUUUCAAAAUAAAAGUUCAAAAAAUGUUGCCAGGCUGAAAAAGGAUUCCCAACAUGUCUGGCCAGCCCUCGGGACCCUGUGGAGGCUCUGUGUCGAGGCUCUUCUGCAGGACUGUGAGCCCUCUCUGCGGCCCGGAUGCCUUACUGCCUGUGGACGCAUUCAAAGCAAUCUACAUUCAUAAGGUCACUGUGGUGUUUUAUAGUGUCACCUCGCUCACUGUUUUUCCCCACCCGGUUUUGAAUGUUUCUGUUUGAUGCUCAUUGGUGGACUCAUUGGAAGAAUCUGAUUGGCUGGCUGCAUCAGCCUGGUGUUAACACGAACAGGAAGUGGUCAUCAGGAUAAGCGAAGCCAAUCACAUCCGCCCGUCAUUCUGUUUGUUUUCAUUUGAAAUCCUGGUUGCACAUUUUGACUUUUAUUUGGUCAUCAGUACUUCCACGGAAAUAUUUGUCUGAUGCUGCUCCCGUGGGCGUGUUGAACUCUGUUCAGCUUCAUUUUAUUUGUUGGUAUAUCCGUUGGAAGAAGUUUUGGACGGUGAGCGUUACGCUCUGAUGCUGUUUUUUUGGUGCAAUGUUGUUUUUACACAAACAAAAAAAAGUUCAGUGUUCAUUCUACUCUUAUUCUCGACUUCUGUUAACAUUUCGAUCGUACCAUUGUGAUAUUUUUAUAGUUACCCGUUUGUCAGUAUUUUGGUUUGGGAAGAAGCUGCAUAUUACAAGUUAUCCACCUGAUUUGGGUUUUUUCUUUCUCAUGCACAGUAAUGCCCCUCUCGGUUACCUUCUUUCGGUUUGAGUUCUCAAUCAGGUCCUCCUCUCGGAGGAAUCCGCCAUGUUGUGCUUUUGUUUUGGUGUGUGUGUUUGUGUGGUGGAUGACUGUUCUCCAUUGUUUUAAACUUCUGGGCAUAUCCGUUCACCUUACCACAUUGCCACCGGUUUUCCAUUUUUAUUUAAACAAAGUUAAAACACUUUGCAGUUCCUAGGAUUAUUCUUCCUGGUUCUUCACCCUUUUUUCGGUUCAUUUUAGAACACGAUCCUCCUUCGUUGACUGUCGAGUAAAUUCUAUUCUUGUCGUUCUGUACGGUACAAGACUUAAAAGGCCAAAGCAAUGUCACUUAGCACAAAUGUGAUCUCCGUUUUCCAUCUAGUCUACCUGAUAUAAGGUCUAUUUCUUAGUCUCUCUACCUUGAUUAAAGAUGUAUUUCUUAGUCUCUCUACGUGAUAAAAGGUCUAAUACUCCCAGCCCCCAGGUGAGAGAGGGAUGUUACUGUGCUCCUGAUUGCAGUAUAUAUAUUUUUACAGUGAACUUUAUUCAUGACUUAACUGCAUAACUUCCUCCUGGACAUGUCACAAUAAAAAGCACCUUUUUACGAAGAUUACGACUUUAUUUCAUUAUUGUGCUUCAAAGCCAAUGGUAUCAAGAGACAAGAAGUCAUGUGAUUUGAGUUUUUAAAAACAGACUUUUGGGGAUUUUGCUAGCGAGUUAUGCAGGGUUUGGUUAUGUGCCAUCUUUCCUGGGCCUGUACAGAUCUGAGACUAUCUGAUUUGAAAUGGUGAUAUAAAUUGUCUUGCACCCUGAUUAGUACACAAAGAUGUUGACCAAACUAUACUAUUCAUAUCGAUUGGGAGUUCAGCCCGUCAAACACGACUCCAUUGUGGCGUAAACAGACGUUUUUCGUUGGGGCUCUCUACUAGAAAACCAAAUAUGUCAGCCUAGAUGGUUCUAUAGGUUAAACCACCCCUGGGGCUAUGAGCCAAAUUCUUUGGAUUUGUGUUGUCUUGUGUUGCCUAUUUGAGUGUCAGCCCUGGACUACCAGGCUGUGUGUUGAGGGCGUG
ensembl:lncRNA